GUGCUCCCCUUUCAGUAUAUUUCUUAUGAAUACAGAGAUGCUCAGGCAGCAUUCUGUACCCAAAGGAGUUUGGGGCUAAAUUCUAAAUGUGUUUUUGAAAGGUUUCUCAUGAAGCAAUGAUAUUUCUUUUUUGGAAGUUCAAAGGAUUACCGAGUUUGAACUGAAGGGUGCUAACAGGUGGUCUCGUCCAAUGAGCCAAUUUUACAGGGGAAGGAGCUCAGGUUUGGCCAAGAACCCUGUGAGUCCCAGAUGAGAAUGCCCCGGGAAUCCUGCGAGGCGGCAGCUGCACUGUCCCCUGGAGCGAGGUGGUCAGCCAUGGAAAGGAAGGCAAGCGUGGCUGUUGGAUGAGACACGCCCAACACAGGAAAUUAUUAAUGAGCAGUUCUGCAAAACCGCUUUAUCCUCAGGAGGCAACACUGAAAAUUAAUAGAAAAUCAGCCAAGAUGAAGGGACAUCACUUUUGUUCAUCUAGUGGAAGC